rnacentral:lncRNA from 1 species
UAAAUAAAAUUAUUUUUAAUUAAUUAUUAAUUAAUUAACUAAUGAUUAAUGAUUAAUUAUUAAUUGCAGGGAGAUCCUGGUGGAGGAGAGCAACGUUCAGCGCGUCGACUCCCCGGUGACCGUGAGUGAACAAAGCCCCGAAAAUUCCACAAAAUUCCGGGAAAAUUCCCAAAAACUUUCCGGAAAAAAUUCCGGAAGAAUUCCCGAAAAUUCCGGGAAAAAAAUCCGGAAAAUUCCCAAAAAAAUCCGGAAAAUUAAAAAAAAAAUUCCGGAAAAAUUUCAGAAAAUUCCGCAAAAUUCCACAAAAAUUCCCCAAAAGAUUGCAGAAAAAUUUCAGAAAAUUCCGGGGAAAAAAUCCAGAAAAUUCCACAAAAUUCUGGAAAAAUUCCCAAAAUAUUCCGGAAAAAUUCCUGAAAAUUCCGGGGGAAAAAAAUCCAGAAAAUUCCACAAAAUUCUGGAAAAAUUCCCAGAAAAAUGCCCCAAAAAAUUCCGGAAAAAUUCCAGAAAAAUUCCACAGAAUUCUGGAAAAUUCCAGAAAAAAUUCCAGAAAAAUUCCACAGAAUUCCGGAAAAAUUCCCCGAAAAAUUCAGGAAAAAUUCCCGAAAAUUCCAGGAAAAAAUCCGGAAAAUUCCCAAAAAAAUUCCAGAAAAAUUCCAGAAAAUUACACAAAAAUUCCCCAAAAGAUUCCGGAAAAAUUCCUGAAAAUUCCGGGGAAAAAAUCCAGAAAAUUCCACAAAUUUCUGGAAAAAUUCCCCCCAAAAAUUCCAGGAAAAUUCAAGAAAAUUCCAGAAAAAAUCACCAAAAAAUUCCGGGAAAAUUCCUGAAAAUUCCAGGGAAAAAAAAUCCAGAAAAUUCCACAAAAUUCCGGAAAAUUCCAGAAAAAUUCCCAAAAAAAUUCCAGAAAAAUUCCCAAAAAAAAUCCGGAAUAAAAUCCCGAAAAUUCUGGGAAAAAAAAUCCAGAAAAUUCCACAGAAUUCCGGAAAAUUCCAGAAAAAUUCCCCAAAAAAUUCCGGAAAAAU